AUCACUAUCCUUUUUCACCCCAUUAAUUAAUUAUCAUCUCUAGUUGUACCACAAUUAAUUCUGUAACACAUUAUGACUCGUACGUGCUCUCACUCUCACAAACACAACUUGCAGUAUAAGUAUUGAUCUCUUUUAGUUAUAUCGUCUAACUUUUAAUUAGUUUCUUUUCUCAAUCAUAUAUGUUUUCUCUCUAUAAUAUCUUUGUCUUCAUAAGUUGUCACUUCUGCCAAUCAAGGGAGAUAUAGCCAAAUUGUUGAAAAGCAUGCUAUCAAAUACAAGGAGAAGCAUCCAUAUCUUGACUUGAAACUAAAUAUAUCAUCACCACCUAGAGUUAUUUCAAUGGAAAGAUCAUCACCUGCGAGCUCGUGUGUGUCUAGGGAACCGAGUCCUGACGAAGAGUUCUCGAAGAAGAGUGCCAUGCCCAUGAUGCUUGUGGGUUGCCCUGGAUGCUUAAUGUAUGUCAUCAUAUCAGAAGAGAAUCUAAAAUGUCCCAAAUGCAAGAGCACCGUCUUGCUUGAUUUUUUCAAGGAGGAAAGGAUCAAGAAUUCAAAGGCUUGAAAUCAAGAAAAUGUCAUGGUACUUUGCUAUACUUAUUUAAGCCUUUUGAUUCUUGAUCACAUCCUUUCUUCUUUUUUUCUUUUGUGUGGUGAGUUAUGUUGGUACGACUCUUUAGAAAUUUUAUCAAGUGCGUGUUGGAUUCUCAAUAGUGUGUUUUAGAGGAUCCGAUACAAAUGUGACAACAAUUUUAAAGAGUCUGAGUAAGUGAGUGAGGGGAGAUGAGGUGUUUGAAUGCUUUGGUUUGCUUACAGAGUGAAGGAUUUUUUUAGUUUGGGACAGUUGUUGAGGUCUUGAUAGGAUUGAGCGUGACGUAACGAAGUUUGCUCGCUGGUCAUAUUUCGCUAUAUAAUGUUUUGGUCCUAAUAA